AUAUAUAAAAUAAAAGAAAGAAACAAAUAUAUGUACCUGGUAAAGCGGUAAAGUGAGAACGAAAGACGGUGGAAACAAAUAAGUUGCAGGCUCUUGUGACAAUGGAGCCGGAGGUCAAGUUUCAACAGCCAACAACAGUCCGGCGAGGCGGCGACUAGCGAAGAUGAGAGAGAGCAUACGAUACGAACGGCGUGAACAAUCCCACGACCGGAAAAGAUUACAAGACAACAGUGGUCUUAACCGGCGACGAUGUUCUUCCGGUGAGUUCGAGAAAUAGUAUUCUAGCGGCCGGAAUAAACUAGGUUUAAACGUUUCAGUUUCUUAAACUCAAUUUGGGUUAAACUGUUAUAAUUUGGAUUAGAUCGUUGAGUUUUUAUAGAUAUUAAGUUUUCUUAUUUUCUAGAAUUCUAAAUAAACAAGGUUGGAUUUGAUUUUGUUUGUGAUCUUCCGAAAAUUUUGUUACCGGUUAUUCCUAUAUAUAUACUAGGUGUGAGACCCGUAUGUUAUACGGAUUUGAUAAACCAAAAAUUAAAUAUAAAAGUUUAAACAAAAUUUUAUUUAAAUUUGAAAUUUAAAAUUUAAAAUUAAAAAUUAAAAAUUUCAAUUUAAAAGGAAACAUAUUAAAUGAGUAUUAAUAUUGUAAUUUAUUGGUUAUUUUCAAUUAAGGUAAUCAUUAAUUGAAGUGUAAAUAUGAUGUGUUAAUUAAGAAAAAAUAAAAACAAAAUAAGAAAAUGACAAAUAGAAAAAACAUUUAAUCAAAAAUACCAAAAAAUGACAUGUGUCCAAGUUAAUGAGAGAGUGACAUGUGGCAAAAUUAUUUUCAUUUAUUAUGNNNNNNNNNNNNNNNNNNNNNNNNNNNNNNNNNNNNAUUCACGGUCCGCCACAUUAGAUCGUAACUUGUUUUCACCAGAUAUUCUAUCAAAAGUAUCAUUUUUUGUUGUUUUCUUAUCGUUCUUGUUCUUGUUUCUUAUUUUCUGUCAAGUUCAUAAAAAACCAAAAAAGAAAACUCUCUCGUGUUCGCAUAAAAAACAAACCAAUUAAAAAUUAAAAAAAACACAAAACGACAAAGAUAACUUAAAAUAAUAAACUAAUUUAUUUAAUUAAUACUUAAUAACACAUAACAUAGAAACUACGACAAACAAAUGCUAAAUCAUGUCAACUUUGUGUUGAAUAUUAAACACAACGCACGUAUGAAUUUAAAUUUCAAUUUCAUCUCAAUUUCAUUUCGUAUAAUUUAUUUUUAAUGUAUCGUAUAAUAAAUUGUCACCCCUAACUAUUUACAUCCGAAAAAAACUAAAACAAAUACAAUUUCUGAUAUGUUUUAUUUUUAUCAAGACAUGGAUGCAGUAUGAAUAUUAUUAUUUUUAUUAAGUAAAAUAAAGUUAUCUUGUUUAAGAUAUGGUCAACAAUUUUAUUUUUAUUCAAUAAAUUGACGUUUUAUUUUUUAUUUCUCAUAUUAUGUGUUCAAGAUAAAAUUAUUGUAUUAUUUUGUGUGCCAGCCAAUAACAUAUUAAUUGAACUAUAAUACUAUACCUUCAUUUAAUUUAAACUUUUAAAGACGAUUAUAUUUUAAACCGUCGAAACUUUAUUAAUUUUUGCAAAUAAUAAUUGGAAAAUAAGUAUUUAAUCAUAAAACUCAUAUCACUAAAACUAUCUGGUGAAUACAUUUAAAAUAAAAUUAAUAUAGAUUAUAAUUAAAUAUUUUGAACUAUUUAUAAUAGUAAAAAAUUGUUGUUAAUUUGUUCAAGAACUAUUAAAUAUAAAAUAUUAAUAAAAUUAGAAGGGGUAAAAAAAUAUAACGUUGGUUUCAAUUUGUUUUUAUAUAUAGACGAUUAUGAUUUCUCAUUUUUUUUAUAUUGUUCAUUUUGAAAGUAACUUUCAUUAAAAUUAAAAAUUAUAAGGUAUUUGUGAUAAAUAGAUGUUCAACUAGAAUGGAUGGGUCAACAUAUUAUAUGAUGUAUUUCUAUUUAUUAUUUCUCAUUGUUUUUUUGGUGUUUUUAUUAAAUAUAAGUUUGGCCUCAUCAAAUCUAUAUAAUAUAUACCCCAACAUAUUUAGAUGGAUUGUCGGCCAUGGAUUUUGAUUACAUCCAUGAUCGUGGAGCAAAUUCACAACAGCUACAAUAAAAAUUCACAACAACUACAAUAGUAUUAACGACUACUUGCAUAAUGUCAAUCAUAACCCCUCUAAUAACGAAAUAAACUCCCUUCAAAUAGGAAGAAAACUAGAAAGGAAAAUAGUGGACAACACCAUCCUUACAACUUGUAAUGACAAAUGAAAGACACAUCCAAAAGGCACAAAGAGCCCACUCUCCCUACGAAAAUCAACACAACCCUAACCUAGAGGCUAGAGCUCACCACGCUAGUCAAAGCAAUCAAACGCUAAGCAAAUAAAACGCUAAGCAAAUAAAAUGAGCCAUAUCCCACGCAAACAUGGACAAUACUACUACUGCGAGAGGGAUCAUACCUAGCAAAAACAAAGUCAAACUUAGAACCUAUGAUAGACAUGAUAAAGCUCUAGAAAUGACCAUGAUGGAUACGUGAGGUCACAUUUCCAAACCCAUAUUAUAGUAUAGCCUUAUUCAAUAAAUACAGCUCAUAUCACAGGAAAUGAUAUACGUUGGGUCGUUGGCCUUGUACUAACACGUAACAGUCUGGAAACUAAAACACCAUCAAUGAAGAGUAUUAUCCCGUGUAGUACCAUUUAUAUCUUUGUCGUAUUGUCAUGUAAUGCUUUUGAUGCUUUUAAUUAGAAUUGAUUUACACUUAUCUAACUUAAUUGCCAUACAAAAUUGGUUAUUCGGACUCAUAAACCGAACACGAAUGUUUCUUACACUGUUUUCCAAAUGAUAAACAUGUAAUAUCCUUUAUCUAGGAUCACCCUUUAAUUGUAUUGUGAACGAUCAAAAAUCAAUUUUGAUUAACAACUCUCACAAAGAGAGAAUGCACAAAAUGUUGUACUUUUACGAGUAACCCUAGUGUAACUUAUAUACUAGGGUAAAGACUAUUCUAGAAUGAGAUCUCUACAUAUCAGGGAUUCGAAUACAAAAGAUAUAUACAAAAAAUAUAAAGAGAUAUAUAUUAUACAAAAUAAGAUCUUAUCACUUAGAUAACAGAUCUGAUGCUUGUAGCUUAAGCAAGUAACACGUUGCAGUGAAAUCCUGGAUAGCGGUUGAUGGCGUUGUGUAAAGCUAAUUAGCGUAUCACAAGGUUUAAAUCAAUAGAUUAUAAGGUUUGACCUUACAAUCUCCCCAAAUAUGAUGAUGUCAAAACCUAAUCCAGUUGAAAGUCGUGGAGACAAACUUUAUUAGCUUCAAUUAAAUUUUUUGGCUUUAUCCAUUUGAAGUCAUCACGUAGAAGUUCUUCUCAUCUCUUAUUCAGCUCAAAAGAAACAAGAGAGUGAUAACUGUCAGCUUCUGAUUUUCCUUUGCACUCUAAUCUUAGAUGAAAUAAAUGUUCAGUAUGAGAUUUUCCCAGAUCAAGUGACUGUUGAAAAAACAUGUGGUCUUGAGCAUCAAUAUAAAACAUUCCAUACUAUGGAUCUCGUAUGAAGAGAUGUUGAACAGGAUAUAUUCAUACUGCCAGAGAAUUAUUAAUGUAGACAGUUCCAUAAGAAAACAUAAGAACUUUGCAUGCUUGUACUUCUUUCUUUUCCUUGAGGCAGUUAGAGCAGAUGACCAAGGCCGGUCCUAAGAUAUUUGAUGCUCGGGACAAAACAAAAAAAGGCCCCCUUCAAAUUACAAAAUUUAUAUAAUAAUUAAAUCUAAGUUAAUUUUUUCGAAAUUUUUUUGGCGAUAAACAACCUACGGAUCAUAAAUAAAAGUAAUUAGUAAUUUUUUACAAAAGAUUGUUAUUAUAUAGAAUUAUAUGUAAAUAACUUCAAAUGAAUUUUAAAUAAAAUAAUUAGAAAAAUAUCAAAAUCAAUACAAUUACAUAAUAUUCUAAUAAAAUCAAACAUAUAAACCAUCUAGCCUACUAUGUGUUAUUAUUUUUUUUAUUGUUUAUUAGAUAUAACUUUAAUAUAUAUUAUAAAAGAAAGCAAAGAAAAAAUAAGGAUAAAAAAAGCAAUUGAAAAAAGGAUAAUUGAUGGUGUAUUGCAGGGAAAUAAACUUUGAAGUAAUACUAUACACAUUAAAAAAAAGGAUCAAUAAUAUGGUAGAAAAGUUUGCAACUCCAGGGAAUUGAACUAGGGUGCUUGGGCACACAAGAAUAUUUUCCUACCAAGUCGGCUGAGCCUAUUUUACAUUAUAGAUUAACAGAUAUAAUUAUUAUUAAAUAGCUACUGACGUGAAAUUGGGGCCCCCAAAUUGAUAUGGGCCUGGGCAGUGGCCCAGCUUGCCCCCCCUCCUAAAUCGGGCUUGCAGAUGACGUAGAAGAUGUAUCUAAAAGUGGAACCAAAAUGAAAUUCAUGACCUUAUUUAUCAUCAGGACCAUGGCAAGCUUUAACUUAUGUGCAUGAAUACCCUUGUGAUUUUUAACGAUUCCAUGUAUAUCUAGCUACUCAGAGUAUAUGUAUUUGACAAGCUUGGAUAUCAGAAUCCUUUUAGGGUAUUCUCCCUUAGAAUUACUUAUAGUUAAGUGUAAAGUAAGAAUCUUCUCCCCCUUUAGGUUUUGUGCAUCUAACCUUUAAAAUUAGAUCAGGAGAGAAUCUUCUUAAGAAGAUAUCAGUGCAAGUAGAACGAUCUAUUUUGUUGAGAAUUUCAUCAACUCUCUUUUUUUUGUCAACUUCAUCAUUAAACUUUUUAAGAGUUUUCUUACACUCAUACAAACUUCCUUCAGUGGUAGCAAUUUCUGGAAUAACUUUAGUAGAAUCAAGUUGAUAAAUCACUUGAUUGAUAGUUGCUAUGUUGUGUUCAGCAACAAAAGCUUUGGCUUCUUCAAAAGAUAGACCUCGUUCUUUAUUUACAUCCAUAAAACUUAAUGGGUAUACUUUGUUUGGGAGCAAAAGAGCUUGAAGCAGCAGAAGACUUCCUUUUUCUUGUCAUGGGCUGAUCAUUAUCAGAGUUUAUGUCAUUGUUGACAUGUUGCUACUCCUAAGGCCGAGACUCCCCCUCAUCUUGUGAUCCAGUUGGGAAAAUGGUAGAGAUUGGAAGUGGCAUGGCAUGAUGUUAUAGCCCGAGACCUUGAUCUCGUGAUAGGAUGAAUGUUGGUGCUUAAAGGUGUUGUGAACUCCUUUGUAACCUAGCCUCCUGUUUGCAGGAGACUAAACUAAGAUAUUAAACUAACAAUACCCUAUUAAUUAUUUUAAAAUUCUAGCAUAUCUUAUUCCAUAAAAGGAUGCCCUUUAAAUUGGGAUAAACAAAAGACUGUAAUAAGGAAAGAAAGACUCUAAAAUCGACUUAAAUACUAAACGAUCCUAAUUACCAAAUUUAAAAAAUAGAAGAUUCUGAUUACCAAAUUUAAAAAUGGAAACACGAUAAUUUUCUUAUUAUCGACUAACUUGAGGACUUAUCUAGUAUGAUUCAUAACAUUACUCCCUUCAUCUGCAUUGAGUUUGCCCUAAAUCUUAAUAUUCACACAUUAGCAUCGUUUUCCUCAUCUUCCACCAACAUGACGCAAAAGAGUUUGGCACAUUUCUGCCAAAUUGAGAAUAUUUCAUCACAGUUGAAGCACAAGCCUUUUUUCUGCCUCUCUGCCAAUUCUAUAGCCGUUACUUUUUUCUAGGCCGGAUUUGGUGUUUUAGUUUUGUAGUUCUCGGCUCCCCAUUUUCUUGUCAACUCUCGAUUUUGGUUUCUUGUAGGCCCGACACCCCUUGGUUGUCCUGCUUCUGCCACCCUUAGCUCAAUUUGUCUAGCUAGAUUCAUGGCAUAGUAUAGAGUUGUGGGUCAUGCAAAUUCAACCUCAUACCUUAUCAUGUUUAUUAGCCCUGCACAAAAGUGUCAAAUGUUUUGCUCCGGUAUGACCCCAUUGUCCUAACCAACAACAAUUCAAAGCUUUCACAGUAGUCUUCCACCAUCUCGACUUGUCGAAGCCAGGUUAACUCCCCUAAGGGAUUCAAGCUCAUAGGCAGACCAAAACGGAUUUUGCAUUCUUCCGAAAGCUCGAACCAAUUUAAAAGAUUUAUCAUCCUUCUCAGGUUCCAAUACCACCCGCUUGCCUGACCCACUAGGUCAAAAAUCGCUUGACGGACCCAAGCCUCUUGCAGUGUUCGUUAUUCUUUGAAUAAGUCCUCAUACUUCUGCAACCAUUUGAGUGGGUCACCUUUUCCCUUGUAACAUCCCAAAAAAUUCAACUUUUCAAAACGACCCCUUUUACUAAUAAAUAUGUUUACAAAAUUAGUGUUCUCAAAACAUUAUUUAAAAAGCAGUGCCUCCCAAGAUCAAUGACAUAAAAUCAGGAUGUGUACGGUCACGCCUUCGCCUUGCCACGAUUCUCUGAAAUACCUGAAACCAUAAACCAAAAACUAUAAGCAUAAAGCUUACUGUAUUCCCCCAAAGUACUAACACACAACAGAUAACAUAUACCACAAACAACAUACUAUAGGUCCAAUCAACUAUCGGGUUGGAAUACCCCAAACCCCUCGACCAUUGGGUUGGAAUGCCAACAUGUUAUGGGUCCAAUCAACCAUUGAGUUGGAAUACCCUAGGCCCUCAACUAUCGGGUUGGAAUGCCAACAUACUAUGGGUCCAGUCAACCAUCAUGUUGGAAUACCCCAAGCCCCUCAACCAUCGGGUUGGAAUGCCAUCAUACUAUGAGUCCAAUCAUCCUGGGGGUGGAAUGCCCUCGGGCCCAUUCAACCAUCGGGUUGGAAUGCCUCGGCCUGUUGGCUUACGCACAAAGAAGUGAAGCCUCAGCCACCGACCAAACAUGUGCACAUACAACAGAUAAUCAUGUAACAGUCUACAGCCAGUCAAACAGAUCUACAAAUCACUAAGCAUAACAACAUCCUAUCUACCAGGAUACCGAUCUAACAUAUCACUACAACAUAACAACAUCCUAUCUACCAGGAUAUCGAUCUAAUAAAUCACAACAGCACAAAAGCAUGCAUAACAUAAUAUCAAUCCAAUGUGCCGACAUUGGUGCCUUCGACCUAUAAUUACAUUGAUGAAAACUCACCUCACACUGCCGAAUCACACAGACGAUCCCUGGCUGCUGGCUGACACAUCCCCAAACUGUCAAUACCAAGACAAUACCCCAUCAACAACUGAUCCCACGAAUAAUCUCUGACUACAGAUCCGUUAAAAUCCACGCGCUAUCAAAUAUAACAAUGACAACCCAUUAACAUCUAGCCCCCGACUCACACUAUGAGUCAAAAUUUGGGUAAAAGACCUUUUUACCCUUCCUCAAGCUUGGCCCAAGGCCAAGGCCCAAACUAGAUUACUAAAGGCCCAAAAUUCAAAAUAAGCAUCUAAGGCCCAAAUAUGGCCCAAUUUCCCCAAUUGGGCCCAAUUCCUUUCGUGGGCCUUCACCCAAGAAAGUCCAACAAGUCACAAUAUCCCAACCAUAAAAUCUAGAUUACCCAACAUGGCCCAACAUAACCAAGCCCAAAACAAAGAAGCCCAUGUCUAUUGAUUACACAAGGCGUACUCAGCCUGUACACUCAGCGUACUGCAUGCAAGGCUUGUAUGCACAACGUACAUACUUGUACGCCCAGUGUACUCACCAGCCAUGGCCAUCUUUCCAAAUUAGCAUCAAUCCAUUAGGAAUUGGAUCUAAACUCAGAUCUAAGUUCCCCAAGGUAAUCAUAUAAAGUUGCCAACUUUAUGUGCAUGCAUGGCUAAAUGGGACACUAGAGCUUAACGGAGCUUAAUACAUGCAUGGAAUGAAAACCCACCAUAAAGUUUGCACUUCUAUGCCCAAGGAACCCAUAAUAUAUCUAGAGCUACAAAUACAAUCUUCAAAACGACUUUAACUCCUAACCAUCAACCAAAAAGGGUCAAAAUGACCAAAAAUGAGCUAAGAAGAAGAUCCAUGAAAUGAAAAGGAAAGGUUUGGACUUUAUACCUCCCAAGCCAUAAAACGAGAUGUUAAUGUUGGAUCUCAAAGCUUUCCUUCAAAGAACAAGUCUUCAAGCCCCUUCUUCUUCUUCUAGAUCUAUAAAAACUUUCCACAAAAGCCUCACAAGAGCUCAAGAGCACCAAACAAAGAGUAUGUAACGAAUUAGGGUUUUAGGAUAUAGAGGCCAUCUAAGAAAUGAUCAAAUGAGGCUAACAUGAAGCUUAUAAAGGGUACAACACGAAAAUUAGGGUUUUUAAUUUCCCUCUCGUAUGCCCAGCGUACUCCUCGUACGCCUAGCGUACGAGGCUGCUGACCCGCGACUCUUAUCCACUAGUACGCUAAGCAUACACCAGAGGGUACACCCCCGUGUACUAUCUUCUCAGCUAGUACACCAAGCGUAACUUGUUGUACGCCCCGUGUACUAGGGUUCCUUCUUAAACCUUAAAACACUCCAAAGACCAUAACUUCCUCGAUCUAGGUCCAUUUCCGACGAACUUUAUAUUCACGGAAAGGUGAAGAGAAACCCUACACUUCUAAUAACUCACCUUAGCCUUAAAACACCUCGAACCAAAGCCAAAAGUCAGAAAGGACUAAAUUAACAAAUUAUGAUUAUGCCCUUGGGCUCCGAAACACCAUCGAACACUUGGAUCACUUAGACUUUAACACCCUCAUCGAAAAGGGCCAAAUCCUUUCUUCCCCAAGGUCCCAAGCCUUAUGAUAAUUGAUGAUCGGGCCACAACCCCAAAUAAUGAAGCGAUUCGAAACUGGGUGUUACAACCCUAAUACCCCAGAAACUCCAUUUUGGCGAUUUCCAGGCACCCGAUCGCCACGGUAACCUCCUUCAUCAAAUUCAUCCCAGCUUGUAUGCACCUGUUCUUAUUCAAUACGUUGGUUGGGCAUUGAUCCUUUGACUUUAUGGAAAUCCAAGCGGUGUUUGAAUGAUUAUGGUUCUGCAUUGCGCCAAGAAUUAGAUAUGUUUCCCAUUCCCCGUCCUGUUCCUAAGGGGUUUGAUCCAAACGACCCCUUUCCUUGACCUAACAUUAUAAAGGAACCAAUCAUCUUGCCUUCUGGUGUGUUUUCGGUGAUGAUGCCCUUUCCCUUUCCUCGGCGUAGCUCGCUGCUAUCCUCAAUUAGCUAGUACAUCUCUUAUUUUUCCCCGCUUGCUUUAGACCCUUGUUUGUUAACUUUGUUUCAGGAUUGUAAUAAACCCUCUUCCAAUGCAACAUGCUUGGCUUGCAAGGCUUCGACUACCCCUUUUAGUUCAAGCGUACUUUGAGUUUGUUGGACCAUUAAUUCGUCUAGCUUCUUCAUCAAUUCUUUAUGUUGAGUAGACAUUGUGAGCAACUCUGAUACCAAAUUUAUUAUGUGUAAUGCCCGCUUUUCCUACUAGAUUAGUCAUGGUCUGUAAUCACUUUGCUCAACUAUUAAAAGCCUUUAUACGAAUGAAUAAGAAAUGAUUAUUAGUAUAUUUAUAUGCUUAUGUGUUUUAUAUGAUAUUAUGUGUAAAUUAUAUUAGUAUUUAAUAAUAAAAUAAAUAAGAUUAAAAUACACAUUGAAAAUAAAAGAUUACUUAGGACAAAUAAUCUUAACCUAUUCGUAGUAUACGUAAUAAGGAUUCUAGGGACAUAAGGAUCGUUCGAAUCUGACUUAGAACGAAGAAGUUAUGUUUAUUCGAAGUUUCACGAUUAAACCGGCACGACUCUGCAUAUCGUAAAAAGUAAAUUUUUGAUAAAUUACUUCUUAACCUAAGUGUUCUAAACGAAAGUUGUAGUAGUCAUUAAAACGAGAGAGUGCAUAUAGAGAACGUCUAAAUCUGAUUUCAUUAGAGGAAGUUAUUAUUUUUCUAAGAUUCAGCGUAGCAGUAUACAUCUCAACAAUUGAAUUUUAAAUCGGUCAAGUUUUAGCCAAAACAAUCUAAAUGAGAAAUGAAGAUCUCAUUAAUAGGAAUCCAACAGUAUAAAGUCUUUCAAAAACGGACAUCGGAUGAUAGAGUUAUGCAUUUUAUACGGACUUUAACAGUCUAAGCCUAUGUGAAAUAAAAAAAGUCAAAAUUAGCCGAUAGAGUCUAAAUGAAAGUUAUAGAUCUCGUCAAUAGCUACACGUGGAUAUAAAUAACAUUAAAAAUGAAGCUCGUAUGAAGAAGUUAUACAAUUUUGAAAAUAUGGAAAUUGACACAUGCGUGGGACGUGCCACGAGGUUCUAGAAGCAGCUACGUUGCCCCACCCGUUAUAGGACAUGUGUCAAAAUAUAUGUGGUGCCAAGUCACCAGGCACGAUGUGCUUUUCAUAAAUCUUAUAAAUAUCUCCCAUUUCAUAUAAGUACCUCACUCGUUUCCCUUACACCCCUUCUCACGAAGUCCCCCCCCCACNCCCCCUUGUAGCCUCUUUUUCCUUAGUUUUCUGGAAGCCGGUGAAGCGUUGUGAUCCCCCUGAGUACUCAGCCGAGUAGUGGCCUUCAAGUAGGAGAUCCCGAGUCAGUAUUCUGCCCACUUAGAUCCCGGUUCUCAUCAAUAGUACUUCUUAAGUGAGCUACACUUACUUUGCUUCCAUAUAAAUUACCUUUAUAAUUAUAAGUCGUUACUAGGAACUUAUAAUUAAGAUUUAUCAAUGAUCCCAAGUCAUAGCACAGAUUAAUCUACUUACAAGAGAGGUGCUUAGAAUGGUCAUGUCGGGUUGGUUGUUGGAUUUCAGAAAUGCUAUAUUGAAACGUCCCAAAAAUCAGAGUAAAAUUUUUAUUUUUCCAAAACAACCCCAAGUCAAUAAUUGUUUACAAAAACAUUGUUUCAAAAGUAUAGUUCGUAAAUCAAAGUAUCCCAAAAGCCAAUAACAUAAAACUCGAAGGAUGUGCAAGAUCAUGCCUUUGAUUUUCCUGAUCAUCUGAAGUACCUGAAACCAUAACAAAGAACUGUAAGCACAAAUCUUAGUGAGUUCCCCCAAAGUACCACGACACAAACAUAUAAAAUAUAAAACAUACAUGCAUAUAGGGUUUGUUGGCCCUUGACCUGAACCCAAUCAUACCGAGUUUGUUGGUUUACAGUACAAAGCAGUAAGACCUCAACCCAACCGUCCAGGGUUUGUUGGCACAUGGCCUCACCCCAGCCAUCCAGAUUUGUUUUCAUGUGACCUCAACCUUACCAUAUCGGGUUUGUUGACCUCCAGUUUCAACCUAACCAUACCAGGUUUGUUGGUACAUGGCCUCAACCCAACCAUCCAGGUUUGUUGGCACGUGGCCUCAACCUUACCAUACCAGAUUUUUUAACUGGUGGCACAAAGCAAUACAGUCUCAACCCAACCACACUAUGUUGACAUAUGCAACUGAUAAACAUAUAGCCAGUAAACAGAUAAGCAGGCAGAUCUACAGAUCACUACCACAUAGCAACAUCCUAAACACCAGGAUACAAAUCUAACAUAUUACUACUACAUAGCAACAUCCUAUAUACUAGGAUACAUAACCUAGUGGGCCAACAUUGGUGCCUUUGACCCACGAGCAUAGUGAGGAAAACUUACUUGAAUGAAGAAACCCGAAAAACACUACAACAUGCUCCCUGCUACACCGCUUUCUCCUGCGGACCCACUAACACCAGAACCAUAUAAAAUCUUAAUCACCAGUCAAAACCCUCAAGUUUGACCUAAAGUCAAACUUGGUCAAAAAGUCAACGGUCAAUGGAGUCAAUUAAGUCAAAGUCCAACACUGGUUGAGUACGCCCUACGUACUCAACGUACGCCCAGCGUACAUGGGAUGGUUUAGUACGCCCAACGUAUGAAAAUUACGCCCAACAUACAUGAGUUGGUUCCAUCUUUUCCAUUAAGAACUUAAUCCCUUAAGGACUUUUCACCCAAACUCAGAUCUAGCCUCAAAACAUUGUCUUAAGUUAUAAAGUUUCCACCUUUAUGACUUUCCAUGGAUAGGGAAGGUCCAAAAGCUAAAACCUUAACUUAUUAAUCCAUUAAGACAUCACAACUCUUGAAUUGAAGGGAUAGAAGGACCAAGAUCACAUUUUUAUGUUUCCUAAUAGCUCCAUAAUGGAUAAAGUUUCCAACUUUAUACAUUAGAAUGGUCCCAACAAACAAGAUCUAGUCUUCAAGUUUUAAAGGGACCAAAAGUGCAUCUUUUUCAACUUAAUCAAUUAAGUCCAAGUCUCCAACCUUCAGAUCUGAAUCAAUAUGAUGUUUAGAUGGGUAAAGUUUCCAACUUUAUCCAUAACAAGGUCACAAAAUUUCAAUAUCUAAACUUUGUGCACUUAAAGUGACCAAAAGCUCGUAACACCCAAAACUAGCUAGAUCUAAAAAUUUCAUCAUCAAGAUUCAAACUUUAUACCUCCAGAAGAAAGACCAAGGCGAACAAGGUCUGUAUCUACAAGCUCCAAUGCAACCAAUGCUUCUUCAAUGAGUUCCUUCUUCUCCAAGGUGCACCAAGAACACUCCAAAGCAGUUAAAAACACCUUCUUUUUUCUCAUAAAGCUCAAACUAGGGUUAGGGUUUCAAGAGAGGGUGUUGCAGAGGUGGAGGCUAAGAAUGGAAUGGGUUUGGGAAAGUUAAGGAGCUUAAAUAGGAAUAACCACGGAAAUAGGGUUUGGGCACUUAUCGUGUAUGCCCAACAUACUCCUGGUUCGCCCAGCAUACUAGGGAUGCCCUAGUACGCCCAACAUACUCCUCGUACGCUCAUCGUACGCGGCUAACCCAAAAAUCGUUUUAACUUCAAACAGUCGUAACUUCUUCGUCCAACUCCAUUUUCAACUUUCUUUAUAUCCAUGGAAAGGUGUUGAAGAGCUCUACAUUAUUAUCUAAAUACUUGGACUAAAAAAUUUCUCGAACAAAAACCCAUAUUUCAUGCAAGAACUCGGCCUAUGACUUUUCCCUUUCUACCCUUCGGCCCUAAACACAAAUAAAGGGUUAAAUCUCUUAACUAACAUUACCUCCUUCCACAAGGACUAAACUUUUCCUCCUUAAGGCCCAAAGCCUUACACAAUCUUUCGGCCCACAAACCAAAAUGGUAGGAAACAAGAUGUUACAAUUCUCCCCCACUUAAAUUAGAUUUUGUCCUCGAAAUUUGUUUCGGUUAUGAUUUAUAAAACAACACCAACAUAUUCCAUAAACUCCCUCUAACCAUUUCGAAAUCAAGGCAUCUUAUAAAUAAAACUCAAGAGGGCACUCAAAAACCCCCAACUGCCAACAAGUAACCCAAUAACUUGAAAAUGCUCAAACGCAACAAUUUUCUUUCUCUCCCAAACUGCAUGACCCAACUUACUGAGAAAAACCAUAAAAACCGAGGACUUUCAGUACUUCUACCACAAACCAUCCUCAUCCUUAUACUUCCCGAAACCAGGAACCCAUCAGUCUAUUCUCAAUAACCUUACCCUAAGACUGAUGAUCAUCCAUUCGUUGAACCCAACCUAGUCCCUGACUAGGGACACCACCAAAACAUGUUGAAAAGAUACUCAAAACAUACCGAUUGCGAAUUCCACCUAAAAACUUUAAAUAUACUACCCCAUAGGUAUAAGGAUGUUCAAUCCAAGAAUUCGCACAUUGCAUUGAAAUCCCUCAUCAGCUCAGGUGUACCUCCACCUGACAAAUCACUCGAGAUUUCAGAACCAACUCCUCAUUCUGGAAACCAAACUCCUAAUAGACAGCCCACGAGAAGAUGAGGUCCACCAUGGCAACCAUUCAUUAAGCGACUUUCGGUGAACAAAAUAAUAUACCAUUCCAAAAAACUUUUCCUGAGCACAUGAUCCAAUCCAAUUAGUCACCAAGUCUCCUGACUCCCAAGAACAACACGCUAUCAUCCAACCAUGCUAAUAAUAUUAACGAUCUGAAACCUAAGAGUCUCAACCAAAUGACUACCGGGUCUAAAGGUACUCAACCAUUAACCCACUGUCUUGCAAAAAACCCAUUCAACAUUCCUUUCGAUGCUAAUCAAACACAACCCAUGUCAUACCCUUUUGUUACACACAAUAUCUUGCACAACCUAGGCUGCUACCAAUGCAAAAUCAUAUGAAAACAUGGUUUCACCCAACCAACGAAUGAGAUAGGCGGUUGUACUGUUGUUCCAAAUCAAAGGAUACAAACCAAUUAAGAACUGUACCAAUGAAUUCAAUCCAGGCGUUCUCAUGCUAUCUUACACAUUCCAUAUGCACCUCCUCAUAACCAUAUUUGAUGAGCUACCACAAUAUACAUCCCCCAAAGGGAAGCACAUUACCAUCUCUAGAUAUAUUGCAUUCCUUCUUCCUCACAACCUUACCCAAAGGGUGAAGUGUCAGUAGAUCUAAUAAAAUAGCGAUCCUCAACUGUUAUCAGAACAUCCUUAUGAACAAGCAAAACUAGAUCCCACACCUUGAUUGAAACUGAACAAAUUCCACUAAUACGUAACUAGCUCGAAAAGACUUCCAAGGUUAUCUAGAAAUGAUGCCAAAAAUUUAGUCGGAUCAAUCCCACUAUGAAUCCUACCGACACAAUAUGCCAAAAUUAGAUUCUUUGUAGGUCAAAGUCACACGUGGAAAACUGAACAACGCUGCCCCAACAUUUGGACUUACAAUAACCAAGGACAGCUGCCAAACUUGAGCCUGCUAUGAACCGAAAUUCCACACCACAAUUGAGGGUAAACAUACCUACAAACCAAAGAAAAUAUAAAACAUACGUAACUUGACAAUAGGUUGGCGCAUCCAUUGAACUUCAACUGACACAAUUCGAAAGUUUCAAAGAACCUCUGCCUUAUAGAUGAUGAAUGAAAUGACCAGCGAUCGAGGAUGCAUAGAGAAUUAAUCCCAUGACCCGAUAUACUACUGAACAACCCAUGUGGAACUAAAUAUGCCAACUCUGAAACUAAUCGACUGAUCAUCAAUUGCCUAUCCUAGACUAUAGAUAUAAAACAAUACGACAGGCUGACAAAUUUCUCAAUGAUAAGUACUCAACCUGAGCGACUUAAAUGCCUCUUGAUCUAUUCCUUGAUGCUUCCGAAAGGAGCCACUGGCUACAAUGACUCCCUUGUCCAAAAUCUUCUUCUCGUGAAGACGACUCUUGGAUUCCUGUCCACAUACAUCUGAUGGCAACUUUCUUUGCACUCAUGUCCUGCCUAAAUCUUGAACCAACGUUUCUCAUACCCAAACCAUAAUUCCCUAUGACCCAUUCUUUUGAAACCAAAACUCGAAGAGGUUGUUGAUCCUCUAACCAAGACAUCCAACUCUCCCCCACUUGGCUUCUAACUACCAUCAACUGACCUUGCAAACAACCAAAAAUCCUAAUAGGCUCGCCCAGAUACAUAGCAUCCUUGAUCCUUGGGAUAUAUCCCAACGUAAGAUGAUCGUACCAAGCAAACACAAAAGAUGUCGAAUCUCAGAUGAGGACCUCUGGAACUCACCAAUCAUGGCUGCAUCUAACAUCAAGAAUUCCUUGCAAAUGCACAAGCAAAACACCAUCUUCCCAUCUAAAAACAAAUGGAUUACUACACUCCUCUCCAGAAACCAUCAACUAGCACCCAACCCUACAACGGUUAGACUCAAAUGAGAGUUGCGCAAUAGGGCCGAAUCCAUCAUUCUAAAAUUAUUUAACCUUUGCAGCAUGUAACUUAGCAUAUUAAUUUAAUGGUUAACUCACAUCAAUAUGCGUCCCAUAAAGUACAAACCAAGCAACAUCUGAGUAGUGAAACCGACUAGAACUAAGACACCAUAAAAAAUAGGCAGAUCCUUACAUGCAAAUUCCGGACCAUUAUGCCUAAGCAUCAAGGAUACACAAACACCUGCACUUACUCUCUCAAGAGUGGCUAAACAUUCCUCAUCUGACCAACUGCUCACACAUAUACCCAUCCAUUAAACUUCCAAAAACCCUAUAGCACUCACAUAUGCUAAUCAUACAUAACACUGGAUCCUUUAGACAGUCGAAUACUUGAUUCUACCCUAGGACCACAACCUAACAAGGAACAUGAAAUAAGGCAAAACCAAGCAUUCUAACGCUAUAAAAUCUUAGUUAUGUACAAUUAUGAUGCAUACACUAAGCAACUACAGUAAUGAUGUCAAUUCUAUACAAGAAGUAAUCCAAGGCUAUCAGGCAAUUCUAACAUGCAAUUCCUGAAGAUCCGUAGUGAUGAGUUGAAAGCUCUUUUAAGAUCGAUUAGAUUCUUAACAAGUAAAUCAGAAUGUAAACAAUUGUAAGAACACACAAUGAAUCAAAUUAAGACUGCAACACUACAGAAGAGCUCGAUAAAGAACUUCUAUUGUAGAGGUGUGCUAGGGUUACAAUGCAAUCAAAGAUGAUAAUCAGAAGCGUACUAAUGACGAUGCAUGCAUGCACCAUAAAUACCAAACCCUAAUAAUAAAAACACGGCUGGACAGGCCCAAACUGUGAUAAAAUUGGACCGAAUACAAAAUCCCAAUGACGCAACUCCUAGACUCAACACCUAGCCUAUCACUAGCAUGUAGUUCUAUCAUAUCAUAACAAAUAAGGGUGUGGUAACUUGGGGUAUACUUUCUUGCUCUAGCUGAUCAUACACAUCUCCUUCUUCCAGGGUUACUUUUGAAAACAAUUUGAAUUUAAGUUGAAAAUAAUUUAAAAAUCAUUUUGAAAACUUUUACAGAUCCUUAGUUUGAGUCUGGAUUCACAUGAAUGCUCAUCCAAUUCUCUCAAACCAGGGCUCUAAUACCAACUAGAAACGUCCCAAAAAUCAUAGUAAAAUUUUCAUUUUUCCAAAACAAUCCCGAGUCAAUAAUUAUUUACAAAAACAUUGUUUCAAAAGUAUACUUCGUAAAUCAGAGUAUCCCAAAAUCUAAUAACAUAAAAUCCGAAGGAUGUGCACCAUAAUGCCUUUGCUUUUCCUGAUCAUCUGAAGUACCAGGAACCAUGACAAACAAUUGUAAGCACGAAGCUUAGUGAGUUCCCCCAAAGUACCAUUACACAAACAGAUAACAUAUACCAGGAUAUAUAACCUACUGGGUCGACAUUGGUGCCUUCGACCCACGAGUAUAGUAAGGAAAACUCACUUGAAUUAAGAAACCCGAAAAACACUACAACAUGCUCCCUGCUACACUGCUUGCUCCUGCAGAUCCACUAACACUAGAACCAUAUAAAAUCUUAAUCACCAAUCAAAAACCUCAAGUUUGAACUAAUGUCAAACUUGGUCAAAAGUGCAAUGGUCAACAAAGUCAACAAAAGUCAAAGUCCAAGGCUGGUUGAGUACGCCCUGCGUACUCAACUUAUGCCCAGCGUACAUGGGAUGGUUUAGUAUGCCCAGCGUAUGAUAAUUACGCCUAAAGUACACGAGCUGGUUCCAUCCUUUCCAUUAAGCACUUAAUCCCUUAAGGACUUUUCACCCAAACUCAGAUCUAGCCUCAAAACAUUAUCUUAAGUCAUAAAGGUUCCACCUUUAUGACUUUCCAUGGCUAGGGAAGGUCCAAAAUGUAAAACCCUAACUUAUUAAUCUUUUAAGGCAUCACAACUCUUGAAUGGAAGGGAUAGAAGGACCAAGAUCACAUUUUUAUGUUUCCAAAUAGCUCCAUAAUGGAUAAAGUUUCCAACUUUAUCCAUUAGAAUGGUCCCAACAAACAAAAUCUAGUCUUUAAGUCUUAAAGGGACCAAAAGUGCAUCUUUUUCAACUUAAUCCAUUAAGUCCAAGUCUCCAACCUUCAGAUUUGAAUCAAUUUGAUGUUUAGAUGGAUCAAGUUUCCAACUUUAUCUAUAACAAGGCCAUAAAAUUUUAAGAUCUAAACUUUAUGCACUUAAAGUAAACAAAAGCUCAUAACACCCAAAACUAGCUAGAUCUAACAAUUUCAUCAUCAAGAUUCAAACUUUAUACCUCCAGAAGAAAGAUCAAGGUGAACAAGGUUUGGAUCUACAAGCUCCAAUGCAACCAAUGCUUCUUGAAUGAGUUCCUUCUUCUCCAAGGUGCACCAAGAACUCUCCAAAUCCCUUAAAAGCAUCUUAUUUUUCUCACAACGCUCAAACUUAGGUUAGGGUUUUAAAAGAGGGUGUUGGAGAGCGGAGGCUGAGAAUGGAAUGGGUUUAGGCAAGUUAAGGAGAUUAAAUAGGGCUUAAACCAUAAAAAUAAGGUUUGAUCACUAAUCAAGUACGCCCAACAUACUAGGGAUGCCUUAGUACACCCCACGUACUCCCCGUACGCCCAACGUACGUGGCUAACCCAAAAAUCAUCCUAACUUCAAACGGUCGUAACUUCUUCGUUCCAACUCCAUUUUAGACGUUCUUUAUAUCCACGGAAAGGUGUUGAAGAGCUAUAUAAUAUUAUCUAAAUAUCUUGGACUAAAAACGUCUUGAACAAAAACCCAUAUUUCAUGCAAGAACCCGACCUAUGAGUUUUCCUUUUCUACCCUUCGACCAUAAACACAAUUCAAGGGUUAAAUCUCUUAACUAACAUUACCUCCUUCCACAAGGACUAAAAUUUUCCUCCUUAAGGCCAAAAGAUUUACAGAAUCGACUUUCGGACCACGGCCCAGAAAUGGAAGGAAACAGGAUGUUACAUAUAUGCAGAAAUCGUCAUGCCUCCCGACUGUCUUGCCUAGCCGAUCCUUACUUUAUAAAUCUUAAAGUAGACUUUGGGAUUGUUGAGGAAUCUAAACCUUUAGGAUAAUAGUUCCAUGAAUUAUGAAAUUAGACUAAGACUUAGUGUUAUAUACAUCUAUGUCUUUUAGAAAAAGUGUACGAAGAAGCACUGAUCGAUUCACCAAUUACUAGACAGUUUGCCAGGUGAGUGCAUAGUUAUUAUCAAGAACCAAGGUUGUAAAAAUCGCUCGACAGUAGCUUGACGGUCGACUGGUGUUAAGGGAUUAAUCGGUCUUGGCGGGGAUUAAUCGGGGACCAUAGAUUAUUAAUAAAAUGUUAAAAUUCAUCAAAUAUUAAUAUAUCUUAAGAAAAACAAGUACUUCAAAAUUAGAAAAUAAGAAAAUUUGUAAUUUGAAAAUUUAAAAAUACGAAAAUAUGAACAUUUUGCUAUAACAUUUGAAAUUUUGAAAAUUUGAAAAUUUUGGAGUAAAAAAAAA
rnacentral:lncRNA from 1 species